rnacentral:rRNA from 1 species
AUGCCCUGGCAGUCAGAGGCGAUGAAGGACGUGCUAAUCUGCGAAAAGCGUCGGUAAGGUGAUAUGAACCGUUAUAGCCGGCGAUGUCCGAAUGGGGAAACCCAGUGCAAUUCGUUGCACUAUCGUUUGAUGAAUACAUAGUCAAACGAGGCGAACCGGGGGAACUGAAACAUCUAAGUACCCCGAGGAAAAGAAAUCAACC